GAGUUUGAUCCUGGCUCAGGAUGAACGCUAGCGGCAGGCCUAACACAUGCAAGUCGAACGGUAACAUUUCCAGCUUGCUGGAAGAUGACGAGUGGCGCACGGGUGCGUAACGCGUAUGCAACUUACCUCUAACUAGGAGAUAGCCUUGUGAAAACGAGAAUAAUAUCCUAUAGUACCAUGAUUUGACAUCAUUUUAUGGUUAAAGAUUUAUCGGUUAGAGAUAGGCAUGCGUCCCAUUAGAUAGUUGGUGAGGUAACGGCUCACCAAGUCAGCGAUGGGUAGGGGGCCUGAGAGGGUUAUCCCCCACACUGGUACUGAGACACGGACCAGACUCCUACGGGAGGCAGCAGUGAGGAAUAUUGGUCAAUGGACGAAAGUCUGAACCAGCCAUGCCGCGUGCAGGAAGAAUGCCCUAUGGGUUGUAAACUGCUUUUAUAUGGGAAGAAUCCUUCCGACGUGUCGGAAGUUGACGGUACCAUAUGAAUAAGCACCGGCUAACUCCGUGCCAGCAGCCGCGGUAAUACGGAGGGUGCAAGCGUUAUCCGGAUUUAUUGGGUUUAAAGGGUCCGUAGGCGGAAUUGUAAGUCAGUGGUGAAAGCCCACAGCUCAACUGUGGAACUGCCAUUGAUACUGCUUUUCUUGAAUAUAGUUGAAGUGAACGGAAUGUAACAUGUAGCGGUGAAAUGCAUAGAGAUGUUACAGAACACCAAUUGCGAAGGCAGUUCACUAAGCUAUUAUUGACGCUAAGGGACGAAAGCGUGGGUAGCGAACAGGAUUAGAUACCCUGGUAGUCCACGCCGUAAACUAUGAUUACUCGAUGUCGGCGAUAUAUUGUCGGUGUCCAAGCGAAAGUGAUAAGUAAUCCACCUGGGGAGUACGAUCGCAAGGUUGAAACUCAAAGGAAUUGACGGGGGCCCGCACAAGCGGUGGAGCAUGUGGUUUAAUUCGAUGAUACGCGAGGAACCUUACCUGGGCUUAAAUGCAACAUGACCGUUCUGGAAACAGGACUUUCUUCGGACAGGUUGCAAGGUGCUGCAUGGUUGUCGUCAGCUCGUGCUGUGAGGUGUCGGGUUAAGUCCCAUAACGAGCGCAACCCCUAUUCUUAGUUGCCAGCGGGUAAUGCCGGGGACUCUAAGAAAACUGCCCGUGCAAACGGUGAGGAAGGUGGGGAUGACGUCAAAUCAUCACGGCCCUUACGUCCAGGGCUACACACGUGCUACAAUGGUCGGUACAAAGGGCAGCUACCUGGUGACAGGAUGCUAAUCUCUAAAGCCGAUCUCAGUUCGGAUCGAAGUCUGCAACUCGACUUCGUGAAGUUGGAAUCGCUAGUAAUCGCGCAUCAGCCAUGGCGCGGUGAAUACGUUCCCGGGCCUUGUACACACCGCCCGUCAAGCCAUGGAAGUCGGGGGUACCUGAAGUCAGUAACCGCAAGGAGCUGCCUAGGGUAAAACUGGUAACUGGGGCUAAGUCGGAACAAGGUAGCCGUA
rnacentral:rRNA from 1 species